AAAUUGAAGAGUUUGAUCAUGGCUCAGAUUGAACGCUGGCGGCAGGCCUAACACAUGCAAGUCGAGCGGUAGCACAGAGAGCUUGCUCUCGGGUGACGAGCGGCGGACGGGUGAGUAAUGUCUGGGAAACUGCCUGAUGGAGGGGGAUAACUACUGGAAACGGUAGCUAAUACCGCAUAACGUCGCAAGACCAAAGUGGGGGACCUUCGGGCCUCAUGCCAUCAGAUGUGCCCAGAUGGGAUUAGCUAGUAGGUGGGGUAACGGCUCACCUAGGCGACGAUCCCUAGCUGGUCUGAGAGGAUGACCAGCCACACUGGAACUGAGACACGGUCCAGACUCCUACGGGAGGCAGCAGUGGGGAAUAUUGCACAAUGGGCGCAAGCCUGAUGCAGCCAUGCCGCGUGUGUGAAGAAGGCCUUCGGGUUGUAAAGCACUUUCAGCGGGGAGGAAGGCGAUAAGGUUAAUAACCUUGUCGAUUGACGUUACCCGCAGAAGAAGCACCGGCUAACUCCGUGCCAGCAGCCGCGGUAAUACGGAGGGUGCAAGCGUUAAUCGGAAUUACUGGGCGUAAAGCGCACGCAGGCGGUCUGUCAAGUCGGAUGUGAAAUCCCCGGGCUUAACCUGGGAACUGCAUUCGAAACUGGCAGGCUAGAGUCUUGUAGAGGGGGGUAGAAUUCCAGGUGUAGCGGUGAAAUGCGUAGAGAUCUGGAGGAAUACCGGUGGCGAAGGCGGCCCCUGGACAAAGACUGACGCUCAGGUGCGAAAGCGUGGGGAGCAAACAGGAUUAGAUACCCUGGUAGUCCACGCCGUAAACGAUGUCGAUUUGGAGGUUGUGCCCUUGAGGCGUGGCUUCCGGAGCUAACGCGUUAAAUCGACCGCCUGGGGAGUACGGCCGCAAGGUUAAAACUCAAAUGAAUUGACGGGGGCCCGCACAAGCGGUGGAGCAUGUGGUUUAAUUCGAUGCAACGCGAAGAACCUUACCUGGUCUUGACAUCCACAGAACUUUCCAGAGAUGGAUUGGUGCCUUCGGGAACUGUGAGACAGGUGCUGCAUGGCUGUCGUCAGCUCGUGUUGUGAAAUGUUGGGUUAAGUCCCGCAACGAGCGCAACCCUUAUCCUUUGUUGCCAGCGGUUAGGCCGGGAACUCAAAGGAGACUGCCAGUGAUAAACUGGAGGAAGGUGGGGAUGACGUCAAGUCAUCAUGGCCCUUACGACCAGGGCUACACACGUGCUACAAUGGCAUAUACAAAGAGAAGCGACCUCGCGAGAGCAAGCGGACCUCAUAAAGUAUGUCGUAGUCCGGAUUGGAGUCUGCAACUCGACUCCAUGAAGUCGGAAUCGCUAGUAAUCGUAGAUCAGAAUGCUACGGUGAAUACGUUCCCGGGCCUUGUACACACCGCCCGUCACACCAUGGGAGUGGGUUGCAAAAGAAGUAGGUAGCUUAACCUUCGGGAGGGCGCUUACCACUUUGUGAUUCAUGACUGGGGUGAAGUCGUAACAAGGUAACCGUAGGGGAACCUGCGGUUGGAUCACCUCCUUA
rnacentral:rRNA from 1 species